AAAACCCAGCCGUCUCAACCUUUUUUAAAAGGGGAGGAAAAAAGCUUGUUUAAAAAACUGCAUUUAAAUGGAAUAUAAAAAAGAGCGGGAGAUUUCCCUAAAACAUGAUAUUGUGCAUCAUUUGUUCUUUUCAAACUGACCUCCGCCAGUAGCUGCUUUAUAAAAAGGAAGAGAAGAGUUGGCUGAACAGACUCUAAGGUUGAAGAAACUGGAUACAUGAAGUUUUGAGGAAGACCACGAGUUUUUCCCAUGGUUUUGCUGAGUAAUUGAUCAGCAUGGUUUCACGCUUUCUCGAGUGAACGGAUGAUUAUGAAAAUGCAGUUGUUGAUGGAAAAUAUAUCUUAAAAUAGUUACUUAAUUUUUAAAAAUGC